rnacentral:lncRNA from 1 species
UUUCUGUACUGUAUACCUCGGGCGUUGAGUUGUGUUUCUUGUACUAUACCUCGGGCGGUUGAGUGCGUUCUGACGUGUACCUCGGGGCGUUUGAGUGUGUUUUUUUGGUACUUAUACCUCGGGCGGUUGAGUGUGUUCUGUACUUAUACCUCGGGGCGGUUGAGUGCGUUUCUGUACGUGUGUACCUCGGGGCGGUGGAGUGCGUUUCUGUACGUAACUGGGGGGUGGUGUUCUUACUUAUACUCGGGGCGGUUGAGUGCGUUUCUGUACUUAUACCCCUCGGGGCGGUUGAGUGCGUUUCUGUACUUAACUUCGGGGCGGGUGUGAGUGUUUUCUGUACGUGUGUAACCUCGGGGCGGUUGAGUGCGGUUUCUGUACGUGUGUACCCGGGGCCGGUGAGUGCGGUUCUGUGGAACGUGUGUACCUCGGGGCUGUUGUCUUGUCGUGGUGUACCUCGGGGGUUGAGUGGGUUGUUGCUGUCGGUUGUACCUCGGGGCGGUUGAGUGCGUUUCUGUAACGUGUGUACCUCGGUCGGUUGAGUGCUUUCUGUCUGUGUACCUCGGGGCGGUUGAGUGGUUCUGUACCUGUGUACCUCGGGGCGGUUGAGUGGUUUCUGUACCCGUGGACGCCUCGGGCGGUUGAGUGUGUUCUGUACUGUGUAACUCGGGGCGGUUGAGUGUUGUUUCUGUACUGUGUGACCUCGGGGCGGUUUUGAGUGUGUUUUCUGUACCUGUGUGUACCUCGGGGGGUUGAGUGUGUUUCUGAGGUGUCCCUCGGGUGGUUGAGUGUGUUUCUGUACGUGUGUAACCUCGGGGGGUUGAGUGUGUUUCUGUAACGUGUGUACCUCGGGGCGGUUGAGUGUGUGUUUUCUGUAACGNNNNNNNNNNNNNNNNNNNNNNNNNCACAGACAGGCCUGACAUUCAGUUCACACAGCUCCACAGACCUAGCCUGACAACAUUCAGUUCACACAGCUCCCGGACCUAGCCUGACAUUCAGUUCACACAGCUCCCCAGACCUAGCCUGACAUUCAGUUCACACAGCUCCAAAGA